UACGUAGGGGGCAAGCGUUGUCCGGAUUUAUUGGGCGUAAAGAGCGUGUAGGCGGCCAGAUAGGUCCGUUGUGAAAACUCGAGGCUCAACCUCGAGACGCCGAUGGAAACCAUUUGGCUAGAGUCCGGAAGAGGCGAGUGGAACUCCUGGUGUAGCGGUGGAAUGCGCAGAUAUCAGGAAGAACACCAACGGCGAAGGCAGCUCGCUGGGACGGUACUGACGCUGAGACGCGAAAGCGUGGGGAGCGAACAGG
rnacentral:rRNA from 1 species